GUUCCUAUGGCCUAAUGGAUAAGGCGUCGGUCUCCGGAACCGAAAAUCCGCGUUCGAAUCGCGGUAGGAACU